GUGCCAGCAGCCGCGGUAAUACGUAGGUGGCAAGCGUUAUCCGGAAUUACUGGGCGUAAAGCGCACGCAGGCGGUCUUGUAAGUUUGACGUGAAAGCUCCCGGCUUAACUGGGAGAGGUCGUUGAAGACUGCAAGACUUGAGGAAAUGAGAGGGGUGUAGAAUUCCCGGUGUAGUGGUGGAAUGCGUAGAUAUCGGGGGGAAUACCAGUGGCGAAAGCGGCACCCUAGCAUUUUUCUGACGCUCAUGUGCGAAAGCGUGGGGAGCGAACGGGAUUAGAUACCCCCGUAGUCC
rnacentral:rRNA from 1 species